rnacentral:rRNA from 1 species
CCUACGGGAGGCAGCAGUGGGGAAUAUUGGACAAUGGGCGCAAGCCUGAUCCAGCCAUGCCGCGUGAGUGAUGAAGGCCUUAGGGUUGUAAAGCUCUUUCACCGGAGAAGAUAAUGACUGUAUCCGGAGAAGAAGCCCCGGCUAACUUUCGUGCCAGCAGCCGCGGUAAU